rnacentral:tRNA from 1 species
UGCCGGCUUAGCUCAGUUGGUAGAGCAUCUGAUUUGUAAUCAGAGGGUCGAGGGUUCAAGUCCUUUAGCCGGCAUCUU